GCCGGGAUGGCGGAAUAGGUAGACGCAGCGGACUUAAAAUCCGCCAGAAGAAAUUCUGUGCCGGUUCGAUUCCGGCUCUCGGCA
rnacentral:tRNA from 1 species